UCAUUUUAAAACUGGCAAAAUUUAAUCUCUUGCAAAAAACACACAACAAAAAUCUAUCGUUAGGAGUUGAGGAAAUCUGUCCUGAUAGAGCUUAAGGUACUUGGAAAGCAAAAGCACCUGGCUAUUGAACUGCAAACGAGCAGAACCCCGCUUUCAGAGCAGGACAUGCGGCCCACGCUCUGCGCCCCCGGCGAAGGCGCUGCCGGCGGCCCGGGCGGCUCCGGCUCUCGCCGCGCUGCGGACGGCAGAACCCGGGACACCGGGAUAUCGGAGAGCAAGCGACUGGGGAAACUAACUGAAUCCUCCACUGGUUUGUUUCACUGCUGGCAAUUUUCUUAAUUCUCUUAUAUGUAAGAACACAGCUCAGAAAAAAUCUGUAAAGGACCUAUGCAUAACUGCUGAGUUUUACAGGUCUCAUCCUCUCAGGAAGUAGAGCAUCUCUAUUGCACUUAAGAAGCUGAGGCAAUAGAGCCCAAAAAUACUGAGACAGCACCAGUGAUCUGAAUCUUGAAAUUUUAUUCUCUGAUUCAACGUGUUACAAACAAACAUAUUCCACCUGUUACAACAAUCUGGCAUAUUACUUCCUUGAUACGUGAUGAUACAAUACCUCUCAGGUUUGCUGAGUAGCAAAGAGAAAUUGAGAGUACUGCUGGAACAGCAAUUUAACUUCCAGGAAAAUUCAGCAGAUCUUUUGAGACUUAAAGCAUGUGAGAAGUCAGGCACUGUCCAAAAAGAUUUCAAAUAAAAACUUACUUUUCACAGAUAUUAAAGGAAAUACAAAACUAAAAUGCAAGGUACUUUCAGAUUUUGUGAGUGUAGAACUGUGGAGAGAAUAUUCCAAUCUGAGCAGCAGCACAGUUAUCCAUGAGUACACUUACAGCCUGAAUUAAAGUGAAAUCCACUUGUCAGAAGGCUUCUUAUGCUGCCUGCAUUAUAGUGUGCCAUUUAUUAGAAUUAAUUGCCAUCGGUGGAGGAUCAGAGUGACAGCUAAACCUGUGUGUGUUUGACACAGAGCAACCCCUCUUCUGCAAACUGAAGUCUACUGUGCUGGAAUAGGUACAGCCUUGAAUCUCGAGUUACUAUUACAGAGUGAAUUUUGAGAUUUGUAAUUUAUUCUGGUUUAGGUUAUAAUUUUCCUAAGUAUGACAAAAGUAACUAAAUCACAUGAUUUACAAUGCAAAGCUAACACAGCAGGAAUUAUAUCUGCCUACAUAAUUAAUAACCAAUGUACACUGUCUUCAUAUAGCACGGAGUACAAUACUUAAUAUAAACAUCAUGUUGGAUUUUGGAGAAUAUUUAAACACUUUGACCUACAGAUCUAUUUUUUGUGGUGGGUGGUCAUGCUUAUAAACUCACCGAUUCAGUCAUUUACAGAAUGGAAGGUUCACACACACACAUACCCACACACCCCAAAAAUUAAACUGAUUUUUGUUUUCAAAUUGAACGAAAGAGAAUGUUUCAUUUACUUUCUUAGAUCUACCCACUUGUAUCUUUCUCUCUUAAUUUUUUUUGUCCACACUUGUGCCAUCCAUUAUAUAUUUGGUCACCCUGAUAGUGCUUUUGAAUUAUAAAGCCACACUAGAUACUACAUGUGAAAUGUGAUUAUUGACUUGCUAAUUUGAGAUCACUGUUAUUUGUACUUCAUUGCGUCAUUUGAGAGUUGCAAUUUAGGAGGACGAAAUUUCUGAAUUUUUUGCCCAAAAAGAAACAGAUUUUCUGGUGAAAUCUAAACAGAAACAUUAGUAUCAGAAUUUAAUAUCAAUAUUGUGAUAUCUAGAUUGAGAUCAUAGCUAGAAGGCAGAAAGAGAGAGACUGCUUUCCACACAUAUCCUUUCCUGUACAAGUCUAUACUAUCUCACAUUUUUUUGAAGGCUUAUUUAAUUCAUGUUGGCAUUCACCAACAUUUGAUAAACAUGUCACUCCUCACCAGGUGUUCUAACUGAAAACAGAGAUGGACGAAAUAUAUUCCACAGUCUGCUUGUAACAGGGGUCCACUACUUUAAUGGAAAUGUAAAAAUCAUGUUUGUAAAAAUAUUUGCAAAGUAAUCAAUGAAAAUAAAUAUGAUGAAAGGAUGCCUAAAUUAAUUUACAUAUUUUUGUGCAAAGUUCUUUUUCCUAAAUAGAUUAAUUUUUGUGUACUGGAAGCUGCUUUUGCAUGUUAGGUAAUUUUUUCUCUUCUGUGUUUUUUUCUUGAGGGCAGUUUGAUGAUCAGUAAACAUCAUAGGAUAAAUAUUGUGGCUGUGUCUGUCUACGAGAAAUCAACCAAGAAUUCUAACAAUUCUGUUCUAAAUACUGUUCUUAAAGAUAUAAUCCAUAGAGAGAAUCUACUUAAUCUGACAAACAUGAUUUCAAUUCAGGAAAUAGCUCACAAUCUUUCUACUGCAUCUGACAUCAGUGGUAUCCACACAGCCAUUCUGUGCAAACUCCCUGCUUUAAAGGUCUUCCCAUCACUGUUAUUGGUCUCACAGAUGAUGAAGUAUGACACUCCAUAAACAAUGAGCUGGGCCUUUUGUAGGCUGCUUUGCUUUUUUUGGCUUCAAACUGCCACUGAAUGUCAAAUCAAUUUGGCUUUCAUUAGAACAGCUUUAUAUGUGCAAAUGUAUUUGUGUCUGGUUGCUACUUUUUUCUAUUUUUGCUUUCUUUCCCUUUGCUUUUUUUUUCUCCUUUCCCUUGAAUGAUGUAAUUUUUCUCUAAUCAAAGCCAACACCUGUUUCUCUAAAAUAGGAGCCUCUGUGUAAAGCUCUUUAUCACAAUCUGAGUACACUCUAGAUGGGCUCAUUAUGAAUCAAGUUCUCUCAGAACAAAGAGGAAGUGCUCUGCUACAGUGACAUUGUACAUCAUAAAGCCUGGAUAAAGUCAAGAGCUGAUGUAACCUUGACUUUUGACAUGCCAAGAGACUGUUGUCUAGAUAAUGCAAGGUCCUGCAUUACACCCUCGGUGGUGGGAGAUAUGUUUUAAUGUCCCACACAGGAUGAGGUAUAGCACCACCAGCUACCAAAACCAGCAACCAAGAGGAAGGCACACAAGAAGGCUGCUGAUUUUUGUUCUGAAAUACGAAACUAAAAAUUCCGCUAGUGCCUCAAGGCAUUAUUUCUGCUGUGGGGAGGAAACAGAAGAAAUAGGUAUUGUGUAAAGUGAUUCUUCAUUCACUCAAAACAACGCUCAUAAAGAAAAAAAAAUGGAUGGUGAAAGAAAUUAUAUCCUCCCUUAAUUUGACACUUAGAAAGUCUUAGAGAUAUCCAUUCUUUGCUAUCAUUUGGAAGAAAGAUCAAUUUUGAAGAUUUUUCUGGGUAACUGAGAGAAAUUUCACCAAGACUAAGCAACUGGUGGAACCUGACUGAAAAUGUUGUCUUAGGAAGUGUCCCUGUGUCAGAAGGCUGUCAGAAUGUCCUGAGUUGGAAGGAUGUGGGAAAAGACCAUUGAAGCCUGUCCCUGGUACUGUGAAGAAAAAUCCCAAGAAACACACCCUGUGCCAUAUUCCAGGAGCAACAUAGAAGUAGAGGAUUCUGCAUUUCCUGUUCUAGAGAAUUGAAAGAGUUUUGGAGAAACAUAUGUAAGAGUCUUGAAGCCACUAUAUUUUCUUAAGCUGAAAAAGUUUCAAAAUAUAAAGACUUGAAAGAUCAUGGACAUUAUCCACUUUUGCUACUCCAUGAGUGAUCAUAUUAUUUCCUAUGUAUGCGGAAAGAUAGAGGAUGAAAGGUAACAUAGAUUUAAUAAGUGUCAAGUAUCUAUUUGAUAUUAAGUAUUUAUGCAGUAUACCACACCAUGGCAUUUCUACCAAAAACUGAAAACGAAAGAAAAUAUCAGGUGUUUUGGGUUUUUUUUUGGUCAAACUUCUUGCAUAAAAAUUAAAAUAUCAGAAUGAUAAAUAUUAUUGUGUGUCUAAAAAAUGGUUCACUUAUCAGAAAUAUGCUGUGAACUGGCAUUAGUAUUUUUUUAUUCAUGUAUUUUUACUGUAUUCCUUCAAAGCCUUUCUUAAAAUGUGUUAUGUCCUGUAGCUGAUGAUAAAAUGGGAAACAAAACAGAAAAAAUACAUCAUGUAUAUUUUCUGACAUCUGGGGUUAUGAAAGCACAUCACAACAAAUUUAAAACAGAUCCUUGGUACAAUUUCAUCGCCAUUACCCAUCUCCAUUACAACAAAACUUCCAACAUCAAGAAAUAAAGAUUGUCAUUAUCUUUGGCUUUGAUUCAACACCAAAAUGAUAUGCUGAAGACUGAAUAUAAAAUCUUCUGAAGAAAUAGGAAGAGAAGCCAGAUCUUCAGAUUCCUAAUAUGUCUUAACACAUGAAUCCUUCCUUCAUCACCCUGCUCAACAGUGAUGCCUUACAGAUGAACAACUGAGCUGUGAUUAAAUAGCUUAUAGACUUUUCAGCAUUUGUAUCUUUUUUUUUUUUUUAUCUUUUCAUUAUACAAGUCUGCCAUAGCAUAUAUUAGCACUAGGAAAAUAUAGGAAUUAGAAAUGCAGAGUCAAACAUGUUUAAAAUGCACUAUGUGUGUGGCAGAUCACAAUUUCUAGAAAUGUUCAGUGCUGUAAGGUCUGUAUAGUUCUUCCUUUAUCCAACAUCUAUUUAUCCAGUCAUUGAUUACUUCAAAUCAACUUGGAUAUGAACAUACUAUUAGGCAUGAUCCCAAACCUGCACAUACUUGGCUCAAAUUACCUCAGAACCAUACUGAAAACAAACUCAUCAGUAAGAAUUGAGACUGUUACUGCUUCAGUCAAAAGAAAUUGAGGACCAGGCAGGGGUUUUGUAUAUUACAAAGAAGGUUAUGCAUCUCUGGCCAUGUACAAACAAAAUUAAAGUGAUGCUGUAAUUAGCUCGUUGAUAAAUCAAUAGGAGUGAACAAUAACUAGCAUAGUUUGGAUGUCAAGAAUCCAGAAGCUUAUUAUGUGUGUAAUAAAAUAAAGAUCAAGACACGUAAGUUAGAGGUCACAGCUUUACUUAUGUCUGCUAGUUUCUUCUCCUUUCACAAAACCAUCCCUCUUCUCGUUUAAUCAUGAAAGCUAGAAUAAGUUCUUUUGUCAUUCAACCAUUUAGAAAAACCCCCUGAUGACUGAAUUUCUUUAUCAUUUAUAUCAACUUUGAGCCUGAACCAGAAAUUGUAGUGAUGUAGCUGUCAGUCGCCCCUUGCCCAGACACAGGUAUGUUACAAGUAAAGUUUGUUAGUGCAGAUUUUGUCAUUCCAUGUGUGUAAAGUAACACAGUAAUGCAUGCUUCCAUAUCAGAAAGUGUGUUAGCCUUUGAUGUACUUCUUCCUCAGUACAUGACUCAUUAAUUUAAUAGCUCAUAACACUCCAUUAUGUUAGUCCAGCUAUGACAUGUUCUGUAGUGUAUGUAUGAAAGGUUAUUAUGGAAUGUUUGCUUGAAAAAAUAAUGCUGUAUUUAAACAUAAGAAGAAUUAGAAAUAGCAUUCUGUUACCUUUUAACAUGUAAAAAUUUUAUUGGUCAUGAAUUUGUAUACCGUUUUAGACAUAAAAGAGAUUCUAUUAUUGAUUCUGUAUUCUUGAAACAAAAAUGCUGAAUACCAAUUUUUUAUAUAGUCAUUUCUUUCACUGUCCAUUUGAGUCAGUUUCUGUUAUUAUGGAUUUCAACAUGUAUGUCACCAAGUAAUGACUUUAAUUGAGAAAGAAUAAACAGUGGUCACACAAA